AACCACAUUGGUGGCCUUGUGGUUAGAGCAUCCACCUCAGAUGCAGGAGGUUGCAGGUUCGAACCCUGGCUGAGUUA